AUUUGUGUCACCUUUCUGGAUCUGUCUCAGUCUCCUCUGUCUCUAGGUGUCUGUGUAUCUUGUGUGUGUGUGAAUAUUUCCAACUCCCUCAAUCUACCUUUUCCCCUCUCUUGUCUCCCUCUCAGGGCAGGGUGCCAUUUGCCGUGCCUGACAAAGUGCUGUGGCCGCAGCUGUGUGAGGCGCUCAACAUGAAAUUCAAGGCCGAAGUGCAGAGCAACCGGGGCCUGACCAAGGAGAACCUCGUGUUCCUAGCACAGAAACUGUUCAACAACAGCAGCAGCCACCUGGAGGACUACAGUGGCCUGUCCGUGUCCUGGUCCCAGUUCAACAGGGAGAACUUGCCGGGCUGGAACUACACCUUCUGGCAGUGGUUUGACGGGGUGAUGGAGGUGUUGAAGAAGCACCACAAGCCCCACUGGAAUGAUGGGGCCAUCCUAGGUUUUGUGAAUAAGCAACAGGCCCACGACCUGCUCAUCAACAAGCCCGAUGGGACCUUCUUGUUGCGCUUUAGUGACUCAGAAAUCGGGGGCAUCACCAUCGCCUGGAAGUUUGACUCCCCGGAACGCAACCUGUGGAACCUGAAACCAUUCACCACGCGGGAUUUCUCCAUCAGGUCCCUGGCUGACCGGCUGGGGGACCUGAGCUAUCUCAUCUAUGUGUUUCCUGACCGCCCCAAGGAUGAGGUCUUCUCCAAGUACUACACUCCUGUGCUGGGUGGGUACUGCCCCAGGACCCUGCCGGCUGACUCCCCCGGGCUCUUCCCCAACCCAUAGACAGAGCCUUGGGCUGCACCGUGGGGACUUCCCCAGGAGGAGCCUAGGGGCCAUGUCCCCUGUGGGUUUUGGCCCAUGGGGUGGUGGAGAGGAUUUCAGGGCUCACAAAUGAGGAGAGGGAACGAGAAACCCCUCCCAGCUCUCUUCUCUGCAAAGUGAAAGCUGCAUGGAUUCUCACUUCUGCACCCUCGGAGGAAGGGGUGGCAGCACUGUAGGGAGUGGCCGGGAUCAUUCGAGCCCACAGAUAGUGCUCCGCUCACCACCUCACCAGCUGCUCUCUCUACACCCUGCUCACAAACCUUCCCCCGAGUGGAGUGCAGGCAGCAAAAGGGAGAAGUCUCUCUUCUUCCAGCUGCCCCAAAUCCAUUG
rnacentral:sRNA from 1 species